rnacentral:misc_RNA from 1 species
GAUGAAGAACGUAGCGAAAUGCGAUAAGUAAUGUGAAUUGCAGAAUUCAGUGAAUCAUCGAAUCUUUGAACGCACAUUGCGCCCCCUGGUAUUCCGGGGGGCAUGCCUGUUCGAGCGUCAUUUCACCACUCAAGCCUCGCUUGGUAUUGGGCAACGCGGUCCGCCGCGUGCCUCAAAUCGACCGGCUGGGUCUUCUGUCCCCUAAGCGUUGUGGAAACUAUUCGCUAAAGGGUGUUCGGGAGGCUACACCGUAAAACAACCCCAUUUCUAAGGUUGACCUCGGAUCAGGUAGGGAUACCCGCUGAACUUAAGCAUAUCAAUAAGCGGAGGA